rnacentral:rRNA from 1 species
UACAGAGGGGGCAAGCGUUGUUCGGAAUUACUGGGCGUAAAGGGCGCGUAGGCGGCCUUCUAAGUCGAACGUGAAAUCCCCGGGCUCAACCCGGGAACUGCGCCCGAUACUGGAAGGCUUGAAUCCGGGAGAGGGAUGUGGAAUUCCAGGUGUAGCGGUGAAAUGCGUAGAUAUCUGGAGGAACACCGGUGGCGAAGGCGACAUCCUGGACCGGUAUUGACGCUGAGGCGCGAAAGCCAGGGGAGCAAACGGG